rnacentral:rRNA from 1 species
CGGCGUGCCUAAUACAUGCAAAGUCGAACGCAUUGUGGUUGAAAUGAUAUGAAGAACUUGUUCAGAUUUGAUUUUCAACAUUGCAAUGAGUGGCGAACGGGUGAGUAACACGUGGGAAACCUACCUCUUAGCAGGGGAUAACAUUUGGAAACAAAUGCUAAUACCGUAUAAUAAUUAAAACCGCAUGGUUUUAGUUUAAAAGAUGGUCUUGCUAUCACUAAGAGAUGGUCCCGCGGUGUAUUAGUUAGUUGGUGAGGUAAUGGCUCACCAAGACAAUGAUACGUAGCCGAGUUGAGAGACUGACCGGCCACAAUGGGACUGAGACACGGCCCAUACUCCUACGGGAGGCAGCAGUAGGGAAUCUUCCACAAUGGACGAAAGUCUGAUGGAGCAACGCCGCGUGUGUGAUGAAGGGUUUCGGCUCGUAAAACACUGUUGUAAGAGAAGAAUGACAUUGAGAGUAACUGUUCAAUGUGUGACGGUAUCUUACCAGAAAGGAACGGCUAAAUACGUG